GAAAGAAUAUCGGAGACGGAUGGGCAUGCGGCGCAUUAGCUGGUUGGCGGGGUAACGGCCCACCAAGGCGACGAUGCGUAGGGGUUCUGAGAGGAAGGUCCCCCACACUGGUACUGAGACACGGACCAGACUCCUACGGGAGGCAGCAGUGAGGAAUAUUGGUCAAUGGGCGAGAGCCUGGACCAGCCAAGUCGCGUGAGGGAGUACUGCCCUAUGGGUUGUAAACCUCUUUUGUCGGGGAGCAAAAGCCGGACGUGUCCGGCUGUGAGAGUACCCGAAGAAAAAGCAUCGGCUAACUCCGUGCCAGCAGCCGCGGUAAUACGGAGGAUGCGAGCGUUAUCCGGAUUUAUUGGGUUUAAAGGGUGCGCAGGCGGAUUUUUAAGUCAGCGGUCAAAUCGUGGGGCUCAACCCCAUCCAGCCGUUGAAACUGGGGAUCUAGAGUGUGCGAGAGGUAUGCGGAAUGCGUGGUGUAGCGGUGAAAUGCAUAGAUAUCACGCAGAACCCCGAUUGCGAAGGCAGCAUACCGGUGCACAACUGACGCUCAGGCACGAAAGCGUGGGUAUCGAACAGGAUUAGAUACCCUGGUAGUCCACGCAGUAAACGAUGAAUGCUACCUGUUUGGCCAGAUUGAUGGCUGA
rnacentral:rRNA from 1 species